ACUCCUGCGGGAGGCAGCAGUGGGGAAUUUUGGACAAUGGGCGAAAGCCUGAUCCAGCAAUGCCGCGUGAGUGAAGAAGGCCUUCGGGUUGUAAAGCUCUUUUGUUAGGGAAGAAACGGUGAAAGCUAAUAUCUUUUGCUAAUGACGGUACCUGAAGAAUAAGCACCGGCUAACUACGUGCCAGCAGCCGCGGUAAUACGUAGGGUGCAAGCGUUAAUCGGAAUUACUGGGCGUAAAGCGUGCGCAGGCGGUUUUGUAAGUCUGAUGUGAAAUCCCCGGGCUCAACCUGGGAAUUGCAUUGGAGACUGCUAGGCUAGAAUCUGGCAGAGGGGGGUAGAAUUCCACGUGUAGCAGUGAAAUGCGUAGAUAUGUGGAGGAACACCGAUGGCGAAGGCAGCCCCCUGGGUCAAGAUUGACGCUCAUGCACGAAAGCGUGGGGAGCAAACAGGAUUAGAAACCCGGGUAGUCCCA
rnacentral:rRNA from 1 species